AAGCAGAUGGAAAAUUGUAUCACAGUCAAAUGGCAUUCUAAAUAUAUUUUCUAAAUCUCGAAUAGUACAGUUCAUAAGUUAUUUUUAGACAAAGAAACAACCUAAAUACAAGGAGGGUGAUUUUAUACUACUUAUUAUUCGUUUGUUAUAUGCAUUUGACCUAAAUUGGGACGUAAUAAGGGAGAUCUGCCACCAGUUUAGCUGGAAUGUCAGUGUGCGAUCUCAACAGUGCCGUGGUAAAUUGGAAUUCAACAAAACAAGUAAACUUGUAGUAUUAUUUGAUAAAAGACGAACUGAAGGCGAACCAAGUCGACUUGGUAGAACAUAUAGAGGAAACAAAGAAGUGUCUGAAUAGAUCUUAAAUCAAACUGAAUUUAUCCGAAUAACGGCUGGCCAAAACAACGCAAAAAUGUUUCUUAAAACACUCGAGGCGGGUGACAUGAUUUCGUUUCACAAAAAUGAUAUCACUCAUUGGGGAAUCUACGUUGGGAACAAAAAGGUGGUUCACCUUACUGGGAAGAAAAAAAAGAAAAAAGACCCUUCUCAUCCUUUUUUCACUGUCGCCGAUAAAGAAUAUGCAAAAGCCAUUGUAAAAGAAGAUGAUUUCUUUGUGGUGGCUAAAAUGUUUGAUACAUAUGAGAGAAACCUCUCCGACAAAAAGAAAGGGAUGAUCCCAUACAACCCAGGGGAUAUAGUGAAAUUAGCAAAAGUAAUGAAAGGACGUAUAUUUUAUGACACAAGGUGGAACAGUUGCGAGAAAAUGGCUAUUUUCUGCAGAUAUGUUACUCCUGAUGAUACGCCAGAG